rnacentral:rRNA from 1 species
UACGUAGGGUGCGAGCGUUGUCCGGAAUUAUUGGGCGUAAAGGGCUCGUAGGCGGUUUGUCGCGUCGGGAGUGAAAUCCACUGGCUUAACUGGUGGCUUGCUUUCGAUACGGGCAGACUGGAGGUAUGCAGGGGAGAACGGAAUUCCUGGUGUAGCGGUGAAAUGCGCAGAUAUCAGGAGGAACACCGGUGGCGAAGGCGGUUCUCUGGGCAUGUCCUGACGCUGAGGAGCGAAAAUGUGGGGAGCGAACAGG